CCCGCUGAACUUAAGCAUAUCAAUAAGCGGAGGAAAAGAAACCAACAGGGAUUGCCUCAGUAACGGCGAGUGAAGCGGCAACAGCUCAAAUUUAAAAUCUGGCCUCUCGGGGUCCGAGUUGUAAUUUGUAGAGGAUGUUUCGGGUACCGCUCCGGUUUAAAUUUCUUGGAACAGAAUGUCAGAGAGGGUGAGAAUCCCGUCUUAGACCGGUGGUAGGGCCUAUGUGAAACACCUUCGACGAGUCGAGUUGUUUGGGAAUGCAGCUCAAAAUGGGUGGUAAAUUUCAUCUAAAGCUAAAUACUGGCCAGAGACCGAUAGCGCACAAGUAGAGUGAUCGAAAGAUGAAAAGCACUUUGGAAAGAGAGUUAAAAAGUACGUGAAAUUGUUGAAAGGGAAGCGCUAGCAACCAGACUCGGCCGGGCGUGAUCAACGGUCUUUCGGGGCCGUGCACUCUCGCCCGGUUGGGCCAGCAUCGGUUCGGGCGGCUGGAUAAAGGCAGUGGGAAUGUAGCUCUCUUCGGGGAGUGUUAUAGCCCGCUGUAGCAUGCAGCCAGACCGGACCGAGGACCGCGCUUUUUGCUAGGAUGCUGGCGUAAUGGUUGUUAGCGACCCGUCUUGAAACACGG
rnacentral:rRNA from 1 species